UUGCACGCUGGCGGCAUGCCUUACACAUGCAAGUCGAACGGCAGCGCGGACUUCGGUCUGGCGGCGAGUGGCGAACGGGUGAGUAAUACAUCGGAACGUACCCUGUUGUGGGGGAUAACUAGUCGAAAGAUUAGCUAAUACCGCAUACGACCUGAGGGUGAAAGUGGGGGACCGCAAGGCCUCACGCAGCAGGAGCGGCCGAUGUCUGAUUAGCUAGUUGGUGGGGUAAAGGCCCACCAAGGCGACGAUCAGUAGCUGGUCUGAGAGGACGAUCAGCCACACUGGGACUGAGACACGGCCCAGACUCCUACGGGAGGCAGCAGUGGGGAAUUUUGGACAAUGGGGGCAACCCUGAUCCAGCAAUGCCGCGUGUGUGAAGAAGGCCUUCGGGUUGUAAAGCACUUUUGUCCGGAAAGAAAUCGCGCUGGUUAAUACCUGGCGUGGAUGACGGUACCGGAAGAAUAAGCACCGGCUAACUACGUG
rnacentral:rRNA from 1 species